rnacentral:rRNA from 1 species
AGAGCGAACGCUGGCGGCAGGCCUAACACAUGCAAGUCGAACGGACCCUUCGGGGUUAGUGGCGGACGGGUGAGUAACACGUGGGAACGUGCCUUUUGGUUCGGAAUAGCUCCUGGAAACGGGUGGUAAUGCCGAAUGUGCCCUUCGGGGGAAAGAUUUAUCGCCAUUAGAGCGGCCCGCGUCUGAUUAGCUAGUUGGUGAGGUAAUGGCUCACCAAGGCGACGAUCAGUAGCUGGUCUGAGAGGAUGACCAGCCACAUUGGGACUGAGACACGGCCCAAACUCCUACGGGAGGCAGCAGUGGGGAAUCUUGCGCAAUGGGCGAAAGCCUGACGCAGCCAGUGCCGCGUGAAUGAUGAAGGUCUUAGGAUUGUAAAAUUCUUUCGACCGGGACGAUAAUGAACGGUACCCGGAGAAGAAGCCCCGGACUAACUUCGUGACCGAGCACGCCGAC